rnacentral:sRNA from 1 species
ACAUCAGCAGUACCAGUGGCAUCCACGGAAACCCUGGCCAAGUUAACUACGCCGUCGGCAAGGCUGGUAUGGUCGGCCUCACCAAAACAAUCGCGAAGGAAUGGGGUCCCCAAUUCGGUGUCCGCGCCAACACGAUUGCUUUUAGCUUGGUGCUAACACGGCUGACUGCGGCCAAGGAGGCUGGCACCUUUAUCACAACGCCUGAUGGUGAAAAGGUCGCUCUCGGUUUGCCUUCAGCCCAGUUGGCAGCGAGGGCUGGAGGCGAUGAGAAGGAUAAGUAUCCUGAUAUCCCGUUGAGAAGAGGGGCAACUCCCACGGAAGCAGCG